rnacentral:rRNA from 1 species
GACGAACGCUGGCGGCGUGCUUAACACAUGCAAGUCGAGCGGAAAGGCCACUUCGGUGGUACUCGAGCGGCGAACGGGUGCGUAACACGUGAGUAAUCUGCCCCUCACUUUGGGAUAGCCACCGGAAACGGUGAUUAAUACCGGAUAUGACCAUAUGUCGCAUGGCGUGUGGUGGAAAGUUUUUCGGUGAGGGAUGUGCUCGCGGCCUAUCAGCUUGAUGGUGAGGUAAUGGCUCACCAUGGCUUCGACGGGUAGCCGGCCUGAGAGGGUGACCGGUCACACUGGGACUGAGACACGGCCCAGACUCCUACGGGACGCAGCAGUGGGGAAUAUUGGACAAUGGGCGGAAGCCUGAUCCAGCAACGCCGCGUGAGGGAUGACGGCCUUCGGGUUGUAAACCUCUUUCAGUACCGACGAAGCGCAAGUGACGGUAGGUACAGAAGAAGCACCGGCCAACUACGUG